rnacentral:tRNA from 3 species
GCACCCGUGGUGAAAUGGAUAUCAUGACUGUCUUCGGAACAGUUGUUGUGGGUUCGAAUCCUGCCGGGUGCACCA